CAGUCGCCGCGGGAAUAUGUAGGGUGCAAGCGUUAAUCGGAAUUACUGGGCGUAAAGCGUGCGCAGGCGGUGAGUUAAGUCUGUUGUGAAAUCCCCGGGCUCAACCUGGGAAUGGCAGUGGAUACUGGCUCGCUAGAGUGUGUCAGAGGAUGGUGGAAUUCCCGGUGUAGCGGUGAAAUGCGUAGAGAUCGGGAGGAACAUCAGUGGCGAAGGCGGCCAUCUGGGACAACACUGACGCUGAGGCACGAAAGCGUGGGGAGCAAACAGGAUUAGAUACCCCGGUAGUCCCUGUCUCUUAUAC
rnacentral:rRNA from 1 species